rnacentral:rRNA from 1 species
GAUGAACGCUGGCGGCGUGCCUAAUACAUGCAAGUCGAGCGAACAGAUGAGGAGCUUGCUCCUCUGACGUUAGCGGCGGACGGGUGAGUAACACGUGGAUAACCUACCUAUAAGACUGGGAUAACUUCGGGAAACCGGAGCUAAUACCGGAUAAUAUAUUGAACCGCAUGGUUCAAUAGUGAAAGACGGUUUUGCUGUCACUUAUAGAUGGAUCCGCGCCGCAUUAGCUAGUUGGUAAGGUAACGGCUUACCAAGGCAACGAUGCGUAGCCGACCUGAGAGGGUGAUCGGCCACACUGGAACUGAGACACGGUCCAGACUCCUACGGGAGGCAGCAGUAGGGAAUCUUCCGCAAUGGGCGAAAGCCUGACGGAGCAACGCCGCGUGAGUGAUGAAGGUCUUCGGAUCGUAAAACUCUGUUAUUAGGGAAGAAAAAAUGUGUAUGUAACUAUGCACGUCUUGACGGUACCUAAACAGAAAGCCACGGCUAACUACGUG